rnacentral:lncRNA from 1 species
GACCCACAUGAUGGGAUCAAAAUGUUGUCUGUCACCUAAUUCGGUCCUCAACUGCUGACAAACGUACUGUGCCAGAGUAGUCUUCCCGACCCCCGGGCGACCGACGAUGGCAAUUAUAGGUAUAGGUAUGCCUGCUGCAGGUUCCAUUUUCAAACGCCGAAUGAUUUCAUCACGAUCUUCGUCGCGGCCGAACACUCUCUGCGGAGGCACUGAGAUGGUCUGCCUGCUGUCUGCUGUCUCAGGCUGUGCGCCUAACAAAGUGCUGAGUUUCUUGGCUUCGCCGGCGAUCUUUUUCAGC